rnacentral:lncRNA from 1 species
UAGAGAACUGACAGUACUUGAUCUUGGCAACGUGGGAGAAAUUCAUUGCAUGAAAGAUAUCUUCUGAGGGAUUUGAGGCUGUUUUUCAAUUAAUGGAAGCAUGACUUCUGGAGAGCACGGUGUGGUGAAGGGGCUUCUCAGCAUGAGCAUCUUGCUUCGUGGAAAAAAAUUGUCUUGGGCUAUUAACUGAAGCAUAACCAUAUCAGAAUGCACUUACCUUGCGUAUGAACUUUCUUCAGGAUGAGUUGCCUCUUGCAGAAGUGUGCAAUAUGUCCAGGUAAACACUUCAUUACUAUUGUUACGGUUUCAGAUGAAUUGAUACAUAUUCUGAAGUUAGCAAGAUUAGGAGCUCAAAUUUUUGCUAGGUUGUUAUGCCUAAUACAUUGGCUUUCUUGUAUUAUUCUUUAGGUAAGAAUGGGUGUACUGGGUUUGUAAGGGUACCAUGAACAGGCUAGAGUGUUUUAAUAAAGCAACUCCUUUGCAUAAAGACUGUGGAUCACCUUACUGGCCUAACACUACAACCACUUUCUUCGUUCUCUGCCUUUGCUAGUUAAUUUUAGUUUGUUUUGAGAUAUGAAGUAGAAUAGAUAUCCUAUUUGGACCAUGUUAUUACUAGCUUCAUUGUCUAAGCGUGAGUUCUAUAUGUGGAUAAUUGUCAGUUCAAUCAGUGUAAACCCUGGAGGAUGAGAAACUUGUUUAGAACAUGGGAUUAAUAUAAUUUUUUUAGCAAGACAAUAAGGAAAAUGUUUUAAUGUCACUGGUUGCUGUCUCACCAACUCAAUGAAGUAAGGGCAUCAUGGUUAAACUGUUCAGCUAUGCUUAAAAAUUUAGCUGAUCUCAUCAGUACAAGAGUCAGUUGGAUGCUAAGAGUUAGAAGAUAGAUCAAGUACAUUUGAGCUUAAGGUAGGAGGCUCAAGCUUAGUUGAAAAUAAAGUUUAACAGCCUUAAUUAGCUUCGAUUCGCUUAGCUCAAGUUUUAAUUAGGUCAGGUCAACAUCUUUCCCCAUUGUGAUAGUUUAUUUAUGGAUGGGUUUAUAUUAAAAAAUCAUUAUGUGUUUAAACAUUUGUUCUUGACUAUCAUAAGUAUUCCUGAAGGGACAUCUGUUGAUUUGUGUUGGCCAUUUGUUUAGCCUGUUAUGUUGUCUAUCUAGGCAACAGUUUGGAGGUUGAUGUUAUGUCAUGACUGCCUGUUUUAUUUGUUACAAUUUUUCCAGUUCUUUUUGAAAUGUUAAAUUUCGAGAAUACCAUUGUUAUCUGAAUGAAUCUCUCAGUGCAUGAUUCUUCAACCACCAUCUUUGUGGGGUCAGGCUAUGUUGCUUUGUUUCAUUUGAUUAUGUUCCAAAACUCUACGUUGCAUACUUGUAUGAAAUCCUGGCUAGAUUAAAAAGUUGGCUAAUGUUCUAUUCAGUUACUUGGUAGUUGGUAGCCACAAUUGUCUUAGCAGCAUUCCUGAAAGGAAUAUUUACCAGAUAAUUCUUUGUGGUUUAUAUGAACUUGCAAAAGUUUUGCUACUAGCUAAUGCAUUAUAAAAGCUUGUUCUCUGCCUGUUUAAAUUGGUAGUUGGUAGCCACAAUUUUCUUAGCUCCGUUUUAUUCUUUUUUCACACUCUUUCUUGUGUUUGACCUGCACAACCCUGAAAUGAAUAAUAACCUUCAGUAAAAUCAUUUGCGACUGUAGGAAGCAACUGCACUGCAAACUAUCCAAACAUCAGAGGAAGACUUAGAUUUAUGCUGUUGAUAUCAACUCGGUUAGUAAUUCUGCAGUGGCCUACAGCCUUUACCUUAAUGUUAUGAGUAGAUGCAUGCUUAUUAGGAGCAGCUCUGAAUUUUGAGUAGGAGCAUGAACCAACUGAAUUGACCUAAGUAGGGCUUUGGAGUGCUGCUCAGAUUUGGUUCGUCAAUUUUUUUUUAAAAAAAAAAAAUCAAGUGAACUUAGAGGUUAUUUAUUUAAAAUUUGAGCAGAAUAAAAUAUCAUUGAACCAAGUUUUUAAUAGCUAUGAGCAAUUCGAUUUAUUUAUACU